GGCGCGAGCAGGGAGGAACGGGAGCGUCCGGCCCCGCGGGUUCCAGACCGGGCUUAAAUACCCCGGGGGCGGCGCCGCUCCUCCUACCCGCGCCCCGCGCCCUGGACCUAAGGAGCGCGGCGAGGUCGUGCAGGUCGGCGAGGCCGAGCGGUCUUUUGCUGGGGGCCAACUUGGGACGAUUUUGAGGCGAGAAAGCGCCUCUACCGAGUAAGGAGAAGGAGAGGUUCCGUGUGGGAGUCCUGGGGUUGCCCGGGUUCGAGUCCUCCAGCUCGGAGACCUUAGAAGAGAGACUCAACCUCUCUGAGCUGUUUCCUCACUUGGCAAAUGGGGAAAAGACAGUUGCUUUUUGUCGGGAAUGUUGUGGGGGCGUAAAUAAGAUCAUGCACGUGAGGAGCCGAGAACGGGGCCUGGCGCUUGGCGAGGAAGCGAACAGCACCGGGCAGGGUCUGCAUCUAAGGGAACCUGUCUUCAUCAUGCCACAAGAACAGAAAGCUGAGAAAUGAUGGAAAGAGAAAGCAGAAGACCUCUGAGAAAGCAGGCCCAGGAACUAAGGCUGGAAGUAGGCAUUCUAGUUUUCCAGCAGUGGCUCUGCUCCUCAGUUGUUGACCUCAUCUGCCUGAACCAGUAUGGCUUUCACUACAUCUUUGCUCCAGUCAGAUGGAUGGAAGACGUGGGGGGCGCCAACAUCUCAGUUAUUUCGAGUCAGAGGCUCCGACUUGGCAAGGGACAAAGCUGUUAAGACAGAAGUGAUAUACAGUGAGAGUGAAGAGUGACUGGCUGCCAGUGAGCAAUUUAAAACAAGGCCUUUUUUCAAAAGUAGGUUGGCUUUAUAUAACCAGAGUAAAUUGGGAAAGUGAAGAAAUAAAUUUUGGUGAAGAACUAGGGACUCCAGCCCAGAGCACACAGGGUGGUCAUGAAAAUAGUAGAGACCAUGCUCCAGCCUUGUGGGCCAGCCUAUAACACCAGUUGA